GCUAGAAGAUGACGAGUGGCGGACGGGUGAGUAAUGCUUGGGAACUUGCCUUUGCGAGGGGGAUAACAGUUGGAAACGACUGCUAAUACCGCAUAAUGUCUUCGGACCAAACGGGGCUUCGGCUCCGGCGCAAAGAGAGGCCCAAGUGAGAUUAGCUAGUUGGUAAGGUAACGGCUUACCAAGGCGACGAUCUCUAGCUGUUCUGAGAGGAAGAUCAGCCACACUGGGACUGAGACACGGCCCAGACUCCUACGGGAGGCAGCAGUGGGGAAUAUUGCACAAUGGGGGAAACCCUGAUGCAGCCAUGCCGCGUGUGUGAAGAAGGCCUUCGGGUUGUAAAGCACUUUCAGUUGUGAGGAAAAGUUAGUAGUUAAUACCUGCUAGCCGUGACGUUAACAACAGAAGAAGCACCGGCUAACUCCGUGCCAGCAGCCGCGGUAAUACGGAGGGUGCGAGCGUUAAUCGGAAUUACUGGGCGUAAAGCGCACGCAGGCGGUUUGUUAAGCUAGAUGUGAAAGCCCCGGGCUCAACCUGGGAUGGUCAUUUAGAACUGGCAGACUAGAGUCUUGGAGAGGGGAGUGGAAUUCCAGGUGUAGCGGUGAAAUGCGUAGAUAUCUGGAGGAACAUCAGUGGCGAAGGCGACUCCCUGGCCAAAGACUGACGCUCAUGUGCGAAAGUGUGGGUAGCGAACAGGAUUAGAUACCCUGGUAGUCCACACCGUAAACGCUGUCUACUAGCUGUGUGUGUCUUUAAGGCGUGCGUAGCGAAGCUAACGCGCUAAGUAGACCGCCUGGGGAGUACGGCCGCAAGGUUAAAACUCAAAUGAAUUGACGGGGGCCCGCACAAGCGGUGGGAGCAUGUGGUUUAAUUCGAUGCAACGCGAAGAACCUUAC
rnacentral:rRNA from 4 species